UGGAUUUGCAGCAGAAACACCCUGCUAAAGAACAAGUAUCUUGAUUCACAGCAAAGAAGACAAAGAAAAACAGCAAGUUCUAGGGGGUUGAAUCCUGGAUUAUUGGACUUGAUGCAAAAGGCACCGGGGAUUUAGCCCAGUGGUUUUGCCGCCUGCUGUGAAAGCACAAGGACCUGAGUUCAAUCUCCCGUACCAAAAAGAAAAUAAAGUAACUCAGAAAAGUUCAGAUGACAAAUGAAAAAUGGAGGACAGACCAUAUACUAUGAACUUGGUGAACUAGGAAAUUUCACACAAUAUGUGCGACUCAGGACCUCAGUAGGGUGUGCCCAGACCUACCUGUGCAGCGGGCUGAUUCGGAGUGUUCGGCACGACUGGGGACCACAGUAGGGCGUGGGCAGACCUGCCUGUCUGCAGCGGGAUGAUUCGGCGUCUGCAGCGGGAUGAUUCGGCGUCUUCCGCGUGACUCGGGACCUCGG
rnacentral:lncRNA from 1 species